rnacentral:lncRNA from 1 species
AGAGACUGCACAUGGGAAAAUUGAACUGUUAAACAAUAUAAUCCGGACAUGUUCGAAGUAAGACGCAGUUCUAGCCUAUACGAUUUGAUGCGGAUUAUCCAUUACGUCAGCAACUGUAACACCAGCAUUAACACGGUCAAUCUCUGGUAUAAGGGACUGCAGAAAACUAAUGUCGUCAACCGGCUAUUCUCCUAAUGUCUUUAAACAGUUUAGCUAUAGGAGCGGC